rnacentral:tRNA from 1 species
GCCAGCAUAGCGUAGUGGUUUGAGUGUUGGACUGCAACUCUGGAGACCAGAGUUCGAUUCCCCACUUGGCC